rnacentral:sRNA from 1 species
UCGCCUUGCCCAACCCAGCUGGAGCCAAUAUUUGCAUGGCCCUCCAUACCCAAAAUACAGGAGGGCUGAGGGCAUUGGCUUAUGUAUGGUACCAUUCAUUUACAUGCGCCAGUAGCAUUUCCACCGAGCAACGACCUAAUCACUCUGGAUGGAUGUUGCUUGGAGAUUUGGGGUGACUUUGAAUGAGUUGAGAUUUUAUUGAUAAAACUUGAAAACAUUAUUAUGCACUAAGAAACAUGGCAAUAUAUGGUAGAUCACGGAUCAUGGAUCUUCCCCCAGUUGCGCGAGGCAGUUAUGGGACCAGUACAUAAUCUUCUGCAAAGCGG